rnacentral:rRNA from 1 species
GAUGAACGCUGGCGGCGUGCCUAAUACAUGCAAGUCGAGCGAACGGACGAGAAGCUUGCUUUUCUGAUGUUAGCGGCGGACGGGUGAGUAACACGUGGAUAACCUACCUAUAAGACUGGGAUAACUUCGGGAAACCGGAGCUAAUACCGGAUAAUAUUUUGAACCGCAUGGUUCAAAAGUGAAAGACGGUCUUGCUGUCACUUAUAGAUGGAUCCGCGCUGCAUUAGCUAGUUGGUAAGGUAACGGCUUACCAAGGCAACGAUGCAUAGCCGACCUGAGAGGGUGAUCGGCCACACUGGGACUGAGACACGGUCCAGACUCCUACGGGAGGCAGCCGUAGGGAAUCUUCCGCAAUGGGCGAAAGCCUGACGGAGCAACGCCGCGUGAGUGAUGAAGGUCUUCGGAUCGUAAAACUCUGUUAUUAGGGAAGAACAUAUGUGUAAGUAACUGUGCACAUCUUGACGGUACCUAAUCAGAAAGCCACGGCUAACUACGUG